UAGUUAUUUGAGUGCAAUUUUAGUUUAUGGAAAGUUAGCGUCAUUGAAAAUCGUUAUUCUCUGUUGCAAGCCACAUACAUAAUAAACAAAUGACAAUGGCUAAGGAAUUAAUUCUGGUAAGAUGAUCUAUGCCUGAAAUUAAAUGAAACAACACAAAUGAAAAAUUCUUAUAUUAAAGACACUUAUUUUCACUUUUUUUAGAGCCAUUCUAUUGAACACGCAGAUGUGAAUUUAGACAAAACGCUUUCUGUUUUUAAUCCUGAUUCAAUCCAAGAAGAAAAAAAGCGAUUCAAAAAGACAGAAGAAGAGUUUCGAUCCACUCUUUCAAAAAUGAGGGUGAAGAUAAUGAUGCUAAUGAUUCUUCCGGUAAUGGACACACUGGGACACUGAUGUACAAUCAUCAAACUGUCAUCAAUAUUUUCUUCAUAUGGGAGCAUUAGUUCUUCAUCUUCAACGAGAGUCAUGUCAUCCACUAUAUCGACAAUGCGGUUAUAUAUUUUGCGUGACCUAUAAUUAUUGCCAUUUCCGAUAAAAAUUUUUUUAUAGACUCUUCUGGAAUGUAAUUUUUUUCAACAAGCAACUUCUCGCUUAUUUUUAUAGCAUUUUUUAAGAACAAUUUAUUAUAAAAAUCUUGUUGCUCUUCUUCAUUUGAAGCGUUUAUUGACGAAAUAUCUAUAACGUUCAUAAAUAAGCGUAAAUAUCUUUAGCAAAUUUGCAUUUGUCUAACCCUCCUGAUAGUCAAAUAAUUGCAAGUUGUCGACAACUUAUCACAAAUAUUUUCAUAUUUAUCAGCAAAGCAACAGAAGGGGGUAUCCUAUUAUCAUUACGAUCUUGCCAGCAAUAGUUUUUAAAAUAUAAUACCGGUAAGUUCCCAACUACUUAUUAGCAUUAUACUUAUCACAAGUUAUAAAUGGGAAUUGUUGCUCACAUGUUGCUGUCAUGUUGCUCACAAAUUGCUAUAAACAAUUUUUUUAAAUAUAGUAAUGGUUAAGUAAGUUCUAAACAACUUACGGCAAUAUACUUAUUACAGAUCGACUUCAAUGAUUUUUCUACAUUUCCUCAACAAUAAAACUCAGCAUAUUGGUACUGAAUUGACUAAAACAUUUUCUUCUCAUUAAAUAAAAAGCAACGUAAUAGCAAUUAAUGAGCAAAUUAAUGUGUGCAAUGCUUUGCUUUAGAUUGAGUUAUCAUGUUUUGCUAUCUAGGCCAAAGGACGACUGCGUCGAAACUGUGUUGUUAUUGUUCAUUGUAAGCAAAGUGUUUUGCAGGGAUGGGAAGUAAUUUGUUACUUGUAACAAAGUUACAGUUAGCGUUACAUUUCUUUGGUAACUGUAACUUAACUUCGUUACUUUUUUCCAUCUGUAACUAUUAACUUAACUUAGUUAUAUUUUUUGUGUAAUUCGUAAAUAAUUUAAUAGUUACCGUUAUAGUUACUUUAUAUAUUUCACUUAUUUGUCAAUAUAGACUGCACUCGGAAACAUCACCUAAGUGUCAUCGUGUAUCAUUUUAUAUCUUUGUUUAAUAUUCGGUGAACAAGCAUAAAGUGAUAUAUGAGGUUACACGAAUCAUGUUUCCAAAUGUAGCUUUAAUGUGAUUGGUUAGAUCUGAAAGUAGGAAUAAAUUUUAAUUAUGCGCUUAUACUUAAUCGCUUAUUGUUAGUAACUAAGUGAAGUUGAACAAAUGUUUAGCAUUGGUUGUUCUGUAAUAACACCAUGUACAGAGAAAGAAAUCAUCUUCAUGAUGAUAUAAAUGAAUAUCAAUUUUUUCAAAAAAAAAAAAUAAAUAAAAAUUUUUAGUAAAAUUUUAAAAUUGUAUUCCUUUUUGUAGCGUUACAGAACUACAUACAUAUAUUGUCAUUUCCUUUUCAUGCUGUAUUUGUUUUACUUCAUACAUUGCUUAUCAUUGCGUGCUGUACCUUUUUCUAUUUUUUUCAAAUAAAAUUGUAUAAUAUAUAAAUAUAAACCAAUCUUUGUUUUUGUAUUGAUUUUUCUGAUCAUUAAAGAAAAAUAUUAGUUUACGUUUUGAUCGACGUUACUUGAACAGAAUGCCUUUGGAUUUAAGCUCUAUGUAUAUCUAGUCUUAUCCUUGAGAGAAAUUCGAAUUUAGUCUGCAGUUCACGUACCUUUUACGUGUACGUACAUAUAAAUAAUUAAUAAAGACGUAUUUCAUGCAUCUUACAUAAUUAAUGAUAUAAUACAUGAGAUGCUUUUCAGCAAAUGAUACAAAUCAACAUAGGAAUAAUUUUUAUUUUUGUUUCUCACUGAAUUUCAAACAAUAGCGUCAUUAAAUUUGACAAUAUGUUCCAAUAUAAAUAAAAUAAUUAAGUAAUGUUUGAAAUAUAAGAAUAUAGUAUUUAAAUGAGCAUUAAAAUAUUGCAAGAAGAACAGAAGAGUAACUGAAAAGUAACUUCUCGUUACUUUUUGAACAACUGUAAUUAUAAGCUAUUUGUUAAAGUCAGUAAUUUGUAACGAUAACUAAUUAUUUUUUGGAAGAAAAAAACCGUAAUUGUAACUAGUUAUUUUUAUUUACAAAGUAACUUUCUCAACCCUGCAUUUAAUGUAUAUCAGAUAUCAAAUAUUACUUAAAAAUCCAUAAAUUAUUUAAAUAAAUAUUAUUAACAUAAUAUUUGCUCUUCUAGCACUUUAUACAAGUUAAAAUACAAUGUGGUGAUUAUGUAGUGUGGUUACGUAGUCCAUUCAGAAUUUUGCGUCGUUUUAUCAUUGAUAUCUUAAUAAAUCGAUAUAAACUUUUUUUUUAAAUAUUGCUCAGUAUUUUAUUUACUUAUAAACAAAGUUUCAGAAUAUUGGCAAUGUUGCUGUUUUAUAAUUUUGUUGACAUAAGCGGAAAUGUAAUGCUACACCAAGAAUGCAUGCAAAAUUUCAAAUAACUCGUAAACGAGUUAGAGGAUCGAAUUCAGAUUUCAAACAUGUGUUCAGAUAAUAAAUAGAAAGGAUUUAUCAAAUUUUUCAAGGCAUUAUCAAUGAUAGAACGUUACCCGAACGAUGCCCGACGUAGAUCGGGAGCAUGUAUAUGCAAUAUUGAUAACUGCGAGUGGCGAGCCCGCGCUGAUACCGCAUCGCAAGUGCUCGGUAUAAACUAGGCUUUUGUAUACUAACCAGAAAAUAGAGAGCAGAUAUUUCGGUCGAACUUUCCCGUUCGCCACAGUGCCGGCGGCGCGGCGGCUCUACAUCGCACGAAUUCAUUAUGAGAUGCGUUAAAUAGAAAAGUAUGCUAAUGUCAAUCGAAAGUUAUAUGCCCAAUUUCGACACCUCAAUUUGGCCUAGUUUACACCGAGCACUUGAUACACGUACUAAUUAGUAAUUUUUUAUUAUUAAAUGCGCGGCGGCUCUACACCGCACGAAUUCAUUAUGAGAUGCGUUAAAUAGAAAGUAUGCUAAUGUCAAUCGAAAGUUAUAUGCCCAAUUUCGACACCUCAAUUACGACAGUCUUCCGUGCCGACUGUCCGGAAGUAACGGUUUUUUCUUACGGUUAAAAUGUCAAACGAUCGUCGAUAAAAAAAAAUGAAAAGUUGAAAGAAAUAAGACGCAUUUGUCUUCUCAAUAACUGAUAAUUAUACCUUUGUUUAAUUUUUAAUUAUAUCUGUUAUAUUUUGAAUGUCUUCAAUUUUUAAUAUAUACAUGUAUUCUUUACAAAUUGUGUUAUUUCGCCAUUGAAUAAAAUGUAAAAGAUCGAGACUUAUUAUCACAAGAGGUAAGUUGGCAUUGCAUUUUGGUUUUGUAUUUAUGGCGAAAAAAAUAAUAGAAAAAUUAUCAAAAAAAUGUCUCUUUUAAAAGUACUAUUUCUAAAGUUAUAUUUAAAUUAAAAUGUUACAGUAAAAAAAAAAAAAAUCUGAUUCAG